rnacentral:rRNA from 1 species
CUACGGGUCGCAGCAGUGAGGAAUAUUGCACAAUGGGGGGAACCCUGAUGCAGCAACGCCGCGUGGAGGAUGACGCAUUUCAGUGUGUAAACUCCUUUUAUAUGUCAAGAAAAUGACGGUAGCAUAUGAAUAAGCACCGGCUAACUCCGUGCCAGCAGCCGCGGUAAUACGGAGGGUGCAAGCGUUACUCGGAAUCACUGGGUGUAAAGGACGCGUAGGCGGGUUGGAAAGUCAGGUGUGAAAUCCUACAGCUUAACUGUAGAACUGCACUUGAAACUUCUAAUCUAGAGUAUGGGAGGGGGAGAUGGAAUUAGUGGUGUAGGGGUAAAAUCCGUAGAUAUCACUAGGAAUACCUAAAGCGAAGGCGAUCUCCUGGAACAUUACUGACGCUAAGGCGUGAAAGCGUGGGGAGCAAACAGGAUUAGAUACCCGGGUAGUC